GUGAGGAAUUUUGCGCAAUGGGCGAAAGCCUGACGCAGCAACGCCGCGUGAGUGAUGAAGGCUUUCGGGUCGUAAAGCUCUGUCAAGUGGGAAGAACCUAUAUAAUGCCAAUACCAUUAUAUACUGACGGUACCACUGAAGGAAGCACCGGCUAACUCCGUGCCAGCAGCCGCGGUAAUACGGGGGGUGCAAGCGUUAUUCGGAAUCAUUGGGCGUAAAGAGCACGUAGGCGGCCUGGUAAGUCAGAUGUGAAAGCCCGGGGCUUAACCCCGGAAGUGCAUUUGAUACUGCCAGGCUUGAGUAUGGGAGAGGGAAGUGGAAUUCCUGGUGUAGAGGUGAAAUUCGUAGAUAUCAGGAGGAACACCGGUGGCGAAGGCGACUUCCUGGACCAAUACUGACGCUGAGGUGCGAAGGCGUGGGUAGCAAACAGGAUUAGAAACCCUAGUAGUCC
rnacentral:rRNA from 1 species